rnacentral:misc_RNA from 1 species
AGAGAACAACUCAGGGUCUCUGUCGAUGAACUGAGGACCAAGACCCACUUGAGUAGAGUGAGCAAAUUGGGAGAAGAGCGAUUUUGAUCCAGCAAGAGCCAAGGUUUGUUUUGUGGUCUGAAAGAGUUGGCCACCAACAUCAAUGGUGAUAACAUCUGAUUGUGGACUAAUGCCCCGAGAGCGAUUAAAGUGGUCAUUUUGAGAGGACAAGGUUGUGGCAAAAGGAGGCAUUCUUCUUCCUGUUUCGUUUCCUUGUAUAAAGGAGGAGGAAUUGUGGUGGUGGGUGGCGGCGGCUGUUGUGGAGGCGAUGGA